CCGUCCCCCAAAUACAGUGGCGGUCCCGCCGCAGCUUCCAUCGCGUAGUAGCUAACACCUCGCGACUGGAGAGCGGCGCGGCCACGCCGUAAAACACCCAACUCUUCUGAAGAAUACCCGCUGAACUUAAGCAUAUCAAUAAGCGGAGGAAAAGAAACCAACAGGGAUUGCCCCAGUAACGGCGAGUGAAGCGGCAACAGCUCAAAUUUGAAAUCUGGCUCUCGGGCCCGAGUUGUAAUUUGUAGAGGAUGCUUUUGGUGAGGUGCCUUCCGAGUUCCCUGGAACGGGACGCCAUAGAGGGUGAGAGCCCCGUCUGGUUGGACGCCGAACCUCUGUAAAGCUCCUUCGACGAGUCGAGUAGUUUGGGAAUGCUGCUCUAAAUGGGAGGUAUAUGUCUUCUAAAGCUAAAUACCGGCCAGAGACCGAUAGCGCACAAGUAGAGUGAUCGAAAGAUGAAAAGAACUUUGAAAAGAGAGUUAAACAGUACGUGAAAUUGUUGAAAGGGAAGCGCUUGUGACCAGACUUGGGCUUGGUUGAUCAUCCGGGGUUCUCCCCGGUGCACUCUUCCGGCCUAGGCCAGCAUCAGUUCGCCCUGGGGGAUAAAGGCUUCGGGAACGUGGCUCUCUCCGGGGAGUGUU
rnacentral:rRNA from 1 species